rnacentral:sRNA from 1 species
GAUGAGACCUUCAGUUUGUGCCCACACUCAUUUGCAGCAACCCUAACAGAGAUUGCGAAGAUUUUCAAAGUGGGGCACCUCGAUUUCUCGAAUCUGUGGUGUGGCGAAUAUCCGUGUUCCUCCUGCUUAACUAGCCUGUUUGAAGGCACAGUUCAUUCUCGAGCAAUUCGUCACCUCCUGGGGGUCUUCUCUUCCCGUCUACAGGAGAGUGUGACUUCAGAAAGAACUUCGGAUUGGCCAAGGCAGGUCUGAUUCUAUUUAUUCUAAAGACAGAGUUGGAGAUGGGCUACCAUUGGUGUUGAUUGAGAUGACAAGCAGUCACCUGAGCCCAUACAGCUGGGUUCACAGAUGUGGCUAGUCUUGCUAGCCAGCUCGCACUGUGGACAUUCUAGGGAACUGACUGCAGUCCUCAUGCUUGGAGUCAAACACUUUAACCACUGCACACGUUUAUGUAAUAGGAUUGACAUAUGAGAAUCAGAGAAAUGAAUGAAAGAUUAGAGUGGGAGAAAGUGCUUGCUGCCAAGCUUGAUGACCUAAAUUGAAUACCUGGAACCUACACGACAGAAAGAGAGAGCUGACUGCUGAAAGAUGUCCUCAGAUCUUCACAUGUGCACAGUGGCACCUAUCCAACCAUGCACAUAGUAUAUUAAAAAUUAUUUUUUAAAAAA